rnacentral:rRNA from 1 species
UUUUAAUGAGAGUUUGAUCCUGGCUCAGGACGAACGCUGGCGGCGUGCCUAAUACAUGCAAGUAGAACGCUGAGGUUUGGUGUUUACACUAGACUGAUGAGUUGCGAACGGGUGAGUAACGCGUAGGUAACCU